rnacentral:rRNA from 1 species
GCCUAACACAUGCAAGUCGAGCGGAUGAAGGGAGCUUGCUCCUGGAUUCAGCGGCGGACGGGUGAGUAAUGCCUAGGAAUCUGCCUGGUAGUGGGGGAUAACGUCCGGAAACGGGCGCUAAUACCGCAUACGUCCUGAGGGAGAAAGUGGGGGAUCUUCGGACCUCACGCUAUCAGAUGAGCCUAGGUCGGAUUAGCUAGUUGGUGGGGUAAAGGCCUACCAAGGCGACGAUCCGUAACUGGUCUGAGAGGAUGAUCAGUCACACUGGAACUGAGACACGGUCCAGACUCCUACGGGAGGCAGCAGUGGGGAAUAUUGGACAAUGGGCGAAAGCCUGAUCCAGCCAUGCCGCGUGUGUGAAGAAGGUCUUCGGAUUGUAAAGCACUUUAAGUUGGGAGGAAGGGCAGUAAGUUAAUACCUUGCUGUUUUGACGUUACCAACAGAAUAAGCACCGGC